AUUGAACGCUGGCGGCAUGCCUUACACAUGCAAGUCGAACGGCAGCACGGGAGCAAUCCUGGUGGCGAGUGGCGAACGGGUGAGUAAUAUAUCGGAACGUGCCCGGUCGUGGGGGAUAACGUAGCGAAAGCUACGCUAAUACCGCAUACGAUCUACGGAUGAAAGCGGGGGAUCGCAAGACCUCGCGCGAUUGGAGCGGCCGAUAUCAGAUUAGGUAGUUGGUGAGGUAAAGGCUCACCAAGCCGACGAUCUGUAGCUGGUCUGAGAGGACGACCAGCCACACUGGGACUGAGACACGGCCCAGACUCCUACGGGAGGCAGCAGUGGGGAAUUUGGACAAUGGGCGCAAGCCUGAUCCAGCAAUGCCGCGU
rnacentral:rRNA from 1 species